UGUUAAGAGGGAAGCUUCAGCUUGUAGG
rnacentral:piRNA from 1 species